GAAAAACACCACGUUCCUUCUCGAGUCUCUUGGAAAAGCAGGCUGAGGUCAGCAGGCUUUCAGAGAGGGAAAUUUGGAAAGAAGCUGCUGCUAGAUGAGAUUAUUGCUAAAGGUAUCUGUGGAGCAACGUGUUGGUUUCCAUAGGAAACUGUCAGCAUCACCACAGAGAAAUAAUUUCCCUGCGCUGCCCUUGUGUGUUGACUGCAGAACUGGCAAAGACCUGAGGCUCAAAGCGGUUAGAGCGAAAACGAAAGUAUAGUGACUCUACAUUUUGAUGGUAUGUUUAGAGAUCUCCCUUGGCAGUCAGGAUGGGAAGACUGGAAAUAAAGGGGCUGCCCGAUGCAGAACAUUCCCUCACUGGUAACCACGUAUUUGUGCUUGUGCUGCAGUACAGAGGUUUCUUGCCUUCCUUCGCACAGUGCAUCCGAGGCAUAGUGUUAAAUAAAGCGCCUCAUUUUAACAUUGCAUGAGUUGUGCCCUUGCCUCCAUGCCCUCCACUUUAGGCAGAUAUGAUGUAUAUGGGAGAUGGGACUGCCGCGGGGAACUCUCUACAGACUCAUAUGGCAUUUGUCAAGUGAAUGACAGUGCUAUCAGCACUGGGACUGAUCCUUACCAGGUGUAAACUGUUGGAGCCGCUUACACCAAGACGUUUCCAGGAAAACAAAUAAAUCAAGCAAGAAUGGCAGCAGGGUGGGUUUUUUCUUUUUUCUUGGCAACCAGCAGUUUAUUUUUUUCCAGCUGUGGUUUCCUAGUUCUAGAUGACAACUCAAAUAUUUUCACUGAAAACAAAAUUUUCAGGGAAACCCUCCAUCUCUUACUUUGUUUCCAAAAGCAAAACUUUCCUUCAACAACACCACAACCAGCCUAAAGACGCUUCUGGAUCCUCAAGUUGCACCAGGGGAGGUUCAGGUUGGACACAAGAAAGAAUUUCUUCUCAGAAAGAGUGGUGAUGCAUUGGAACAGGCUGCCCAGGGAGGUGGGGGAGUCACCAUCUCUGGAGUUGUUUAAGGAAAGGGACUUGGUUAGUGUGCAAUAUUGGAGGUACGCGAAUGGUUGGACUGGAUGACCUUGGAGGUCUUUUCCAGCCUUAAUCAUUCCAUGAUUCACUUGCUUCUGCUGGUUAGGAGUCUGGACUGGUGAGAUGUGGGGUUUCUAGCAGAGGAGUUCAAAACCGUCAUAUCUCCAGUGCUUUAAAUAAAUGAAGGCAGCUGUCUAAGCUACACGUCUAUCCUAGCCAAAAUAUUGCUCAUUCCAAGUGGAUUUGCUUCGUUAUAAAUCGUCUACAAAUAAUUUAAAAAGCGACAGCGUUUCUUAAAUUAUCUUAUCAAGCUCUUUAAAUAUUGAAAUGCAUCAAAUAUUAAUGUUUGGCAAUUCAGGGUAUCCUCAGUCCUGGUUGCUGCAGUACUCUGAUCAGCAUUUGAGCCAUCUUCUGCCAGUCCUAGGAUCCAGAGAGUCCCAUUUAGCCCUUUCGUGCGUGCUCAGCUCCAGGGGCACUCUUUGCAAGAGGAAAACAUGGAAGCUCAGAGCGCUGGGAAGGCUUCAGCAGGAGUGGAGUAAGGAAGGAGUCAGGCAUGAGCAGAGCCAACGUGCAAUGCUACAUGCACCACCUAAGCAUGCUGCUGGUUGCAGGAGUGAUCUCCAAGUCCCUCAGCACAAGAACCAGGAGUGUUCAGGGUUCAUCUACCAGCACUUUGUGGAGCAGACUGCCCCAAACUGCAGGCCUUGCUGUUGCCACAAGGCUUGCAACCAGGCAGAUAAUUUGGCAAGGCAUCAACAAGAGGGUUUUGAUGGAGCCCCUCUUUCCCUACUCUCAUCCCACCACAGUCCACUGUGUUGCAGCAGGGAUUCAGCAAAACAAACGCAUUCUUCUGGAACGCAUCAACUUAACCUAACCAGGGGAGUUUCUGACAGAAAAAUGUUCCACUGGAAAAUUUCUGACCAACACUAAUUAGCGUUUUUUUCUAUUAGCUUUGUCCUGAAGGCAUGAUAAUAUAUGUCUUAAUGAUGGUGAAAUUAUCACGUAAUGAUGGCUAAGAAUUGGGCACUCCCCAGCUUUUAAGCAUCUCUGCUUAUCCUAAACGAAAAGGACUUGCUCACUUGCAGAGCCUUACAUACUUAACACAAGGAAAGAAUGGCUGCCCAACUUUCUUGCACUUUACCUGGGCAUGGGCCCAACUGCAUUUUAAUCAGUUUGCUUUAAGAAAAAAAAAAAAAAAAAAGGGAAUUGUGGAUUUUCACUUACAGUGCAGUAAGGUCCAAGUUACUUUGGAGACAAGCCUUGCGUAUGAUGAGAGAUAGAUCAUGCUUGAAGGGCUUGUAAGAUAGGUGGUAAUAAAAAAAACAAGAAAAAAAAAAGGAAGACAGAA
ensembl:lncRNA